GACGAACGCUGGCGGCGUGCCUAAUACAUGCAAGUCGAACGCAGUGGGGCCGGGUGAGUAACACGUGGGUAACCUCCCCUCAGAGGGGAUAACCCUUGGAAACAGGUGCUAAAACGAUACUGAUGGAUGGACCCGCGGUGCAUUAGCUAGUGGGUGAGGUAACGGCUCACCAAGGCCACGAUGCAUAGCCGACCUGAGAGGGUGAUCGGCCACACUGGGACUGAGACACGGCCCAGACUCCUACGGGAGGCAGCAGUAGGGAAGCUUCGGCAAUGGGCGAAAGUCUGACCGAGCAACGCCGCGUGAGUGAAGAAGGUUUUCGGAUCGUAAAACUCUGUUGUUAGGGAAGCGGUACCUAAUCAGAAAGCCACGGCUAACUACGUGCCAGCAGCCGCGGUAAUUC
rnacentral:rRNA from 1 species